rnacentral:siRNA from 1 species
AGAAGAAAACCGCAGCGGACCAUU